UACGGAGGGUGCAAGCGUUAUCCGGAUUCACUGGGUUUAAAGGGUGCGUAGGCGGGCAGGUAAGGCAGUGGUGAAAUCUCCGAGCUUAACUCGGAAACUGCCAUUGAUACUAUUUGUCUUGAAUAUUGUGGAGGUAAGCGGAAUAUGUCAUGUAGCGGUGAAAUGCUUAGAUAUGACAUAGAACACCAAUUGCGAAGGCAGCUUACUACACAAUGAUUGACGCUGAGGCACGAAAGCGUGGGGAUCAAACAGG
rnacentral:rRNA from 1 species